rnacentral:snRNA from 1 species
UGGUUAUAACUAUCUAGUCAU